CUCAUUAGACCAUCUCCAAUGGAGUAUCUAAGAGGUAUCUAUGUCAUGGUUCUAUCUCAUUAUAUGCUGAAAAUUAAAUUAAAAAGAGUAAAAAUAGAUAGAUGUGGUUUUAAAAAUAGAACUUUUGGGAACCAUAUCUAAGUUGCAACGUGUCAAUUUCUCAUUUGUUAGUGUUUUAAAAAAAAAAAACCCACAAGGCCACAACGCUUCCUCAUUCCAAUCCUUCGCUUCGUUUCAAUUCGGAACCCUAAUUGGUGAAUUACCAAGGAUGGAGUUUGAUGGAGAAGACGGUAGAGGAAGGAGAUGGAUUGAACAUGAAGAAGGAAGAGAGCGGUAACGAGAAGAGCGACGGUGGAGAACGGUGGAGGCAAGAGAAGGGAUCGGGAGAACUCACGACUUCCACCGGUAAAACUAUAUGAGCUCCGGCUACUUUGAUUCUUGCUCCGACGGCUCUUCCGGUCUUCCAUUCAGGCUCAUGCCAGCACCAGAGGACUGAGGACCAUCACCACCAAACUCGAUGAACAAAAUCCACGGACAAUUGGAGCUCCGACAGUGGAGAUUAAAAACUUUUGUCCUUUGUUCCAGCCAUCUUUGAUCUGCUUGCAUGUACAGAGAGGUGAACUUUUCGUAUCAUGAAGCCAGAGAACAGAACCUAACUAACAAAGAUGGUCUCGUCCAUUACUAAUCUUGAAAGAGAUCCCAAACAGGGGAUGAUGAACAACGGAUGGUGUAUACUCAAGAAGAAUCUAGUUAAGCUAAUGGAGAAAGGAUGUAAUUGACAUGAGAAUUGUAUUCAUGUUACUUUAGCUUUGUGUUCAGUUGUCUUUUGAAUUGUAAUUUUGUUUAUGAUUUCUCAAUCUAUGUUAUAUGUUUUUAUGUCAAGUUAAUUUAAAUUUUAUGUAAUUUAUGUCAAAUUAAUUUAAAUUUUAUGUAAUUCAAUAAUUAUAAGUUUUUUUAAUUAUAGAAUGUGAUGCAAGUAAUCUAUUACUACAAGUUUUCAAAUUUUUGAAAAUUUUUAAUUGGUUCUAUCAUUGGCGGGGUUAAAACUAAACAAGUAUCUAAAAUUUUUAAUUUGAUUAUUUUUAAUUAAAAAUGAUUUAGAACUCUAAGACCAUAUCUAUUCUUGGAGAUGGUCUUAUGGACUUAUCUUUUUAUUUUGGAGAAAAUAAGGCAAAGACAGACACCUCACCUAUAAUUAGUAUUUAAUUGCUUUUAAAUCAUAAAGAUUACCUUAUUAUAAUAUAAGAUAUUUGACCAUAAAAUCAUACUGGUCUUAAAUUAAUAUGUAUUUUUGCGAAAAUGGUAAUUAAUUAAUGGAAGAUAACAACGUAUCCAUCCAGACCGAUCCUCCGGGCCAUGUCUUUAGAAUGACACAUGCAUAACUAGAUAAGCUAUGAUGUCAUCGUUAUAUUAGUUUAAGAAUCACGAUGUGUCACUCCCUUUAUGCAUGUAGUUAUAGAAAAUAUUAAUAUUUUGUAGCAUACUAGCAAGUAGCAACCUGAACAAAGCUUUCCA